rnacentral:rRNA from 1 species
UGGCGGUCUGCUUAACACAUGCAAGUCGAACGAACUCUUCGGAGUGAGUGGCGGACGGGUGAGUAACGCGUGAGAAUCUGCCUGUGGGUCGGGGACAACCACUGGAAACGGUGGCUAAUACCGGAUGAGCCGAAAGGUAAAAAAUUUAUUGCCCACAGAUGAGCUCGCGUCUGAUUAGCUAGUUGGUAAGGUAAAAGCGUACCAAGGCGACGAUCAGUAGCUGGUCUGAGAGGAUGAGCAGCCACACUGGGACUGAGACACGGCCCAGGCUCCUACGGGAGGCAGCAGUGGGGAAUUUUCCGCAAUGGGCGAAAGCCUGACGGAGCAAGACCGCGUGGGGGAGGAAGGUUUUUGGAUCGUAAACCCCUUUUGUCAAGGAAGAAGUUCUGACGGUACUUGACGAAUAAGCCUCGGCUAACUCCGUGCCAGCAGCCGCGGUAAUACGGAGGAGGCAAGCGUUAUCCGGAAUGAUUGGGCGUAAAGCGUCUGUAGGUGGCCAGCU